GGCAAGUGCCAUGUGCAGACCAUCCAGCUGUGCCGCCGGCUCACCGUGGAGUUUCUGCACUACGUCAUUGCUGCCCGUGCUUUGCAAAAGGUCUUCCUGUCCAUCGAAGGCAUUUACUAUCAGGCUGAGGUGCUGGGGCAGCCCACUGUGUGGAUCACACCCUAUGCCUUCUCCCAUGAUCACCCGACAGAUGUGGACUACAGGGUCAUGGCCACUUUCACUGAGUUCUACACCACCCUGCUGGGCUUUGUUAACUUCCGCCUCUACCAGUUGCUCAACCUGCACUACCCACCAAAGCUUGAGGGUCAGGCCCGAGCAGAGGUGAAGGCGAAGGAGGAUGCCUACGCAUUGGAUUCUGAGAGUUCCAUGGAGAAACUGGCAGCCCUCAGUGCCAGCCUGGCCCAUGUGGUGGUGCCUGCGGCAGAGGAGGAAGUUCAGGCUGACGAGUUUCCUGCUGAUGAGGAGAUGGCGUUACAGGAAGAGAACCGCAGGAAGGAGCUGGAGGAUCAAGAAAAGCACAAGAAGCUCUUUGAAGGCCUGAAGUUCUUCCUGAACCGUGAGGUGCCCUGAGAGGCCCUGGCCUUUGUCAUCAGAAGUUUCAGGAGGGACGUGUACUGGGACAAAUCUUUGUGGAUUGGAGCCACCUAUGAUGUCACAGACGCUGGCAUCACCCACCAAAUUGUUGACCGACCUGGACAGCAGACCCCUGUCAUCGGCAGGUACUAUGUGCAGCCCCAGUGGGUGUUUGACUGUGUCAAUGCCCGGCUCCUCCUCCCUGUGGCAGAGUACUUCCCUGGGGUGCAACUGCCCCCACACCUUUCGCCAGCGGACCUACGCUGGUGGCAGGUCUUCACUUCUGCUCUCAUCCCUCUUCUCCCCUGGCCAGCCCUGGACCCUCUUGCCCUCUAUUUGGGUGCAUGGGCUGUUCAAGUUCUUGUGGAUGGAGCUCCCCGCAGGUGGCUGAGCAGAAAAGAGGCCUUCUGUGUUCCCAGGAGUCAGUGA